rnacentral:rRNA from 1 species
GACGAACCGUGCAAACGUUAUUCGGAAUUACUGGGCGUAAAGGGCUCGUAGGUGGCCAACUAAGUCAGACGUGAAAUCCCUCGGCUUAACCGGGGAACUGCGUCUGAUACUGGAUGGCUUGAGUUUGGGAGAGGGAUGCGGAAUUCCAGGUGUAGCGGUGAAAUGCGUAGAUAUCUGGAGGAACACCGGUGGCGAAGGCGGCAUCCUGGACCAACACUGACGCUGAGUGAGCGAAAGCCAGGGGAGCAAACGGG